GUACUAGUAUGAAAAGAGAACCUCUAGCCAAGACGACCCUCUCCCAAAAAGUCAUCGAGAUUGGAUAUCGGCGUCUUCUUUACGUACAGUACAGCAAAUACCCAAAAAGUCACGUUGGCUCGGAUUGAGCGGCUGGCUGGAUAGCCUGGAUGUGAGGCAGCUGGAAGUUGGAAUGGAUCAAAUCGAUGCGUUGGCAGUACAUGAGAUAACCCCAAGAUUCCAAGAGGAUGGUUCAGGGCAGGCUGCCCACAACCCGCUUUAGCCCCAACCAUGGUCUCAUUCUCAACGUCGAAAAUUGUCAAACAAGGCCCUACUUCUCACCACGGCCAAUCUCCUGCCUCCUUCGUACCUCAUCCUAAUCGCAUGGCCUCCACGCCUGUCUGACGUCGAUGUCACCCACCGGGUUCCCUCUCACGACUCGAUUCCCAAGUUCUGGAUGCGAAAUAGAACAUUCUUACUGUGGAGCUUACGGUGGUUUGGAUACCUGGUUGAAUCGAAGAUCCAUAUGAAGAUGUCUGUGGGUAUUCUUCCUGGAACGAACGCGAGAAUGCCGUCUAUAGGACUGCUCCUAUAUCUACCUCACCACGCAUGGGAUCCGAAUCGUCAACGGUCCCAGUGGGGUUCAUGAUUUCAUGGUGCAGACCAACCCAGUAAAUGCUAAUCAUACCAGAUUCGUUAGUAAAGCGGGAGAGGCAUUGGGAGUUUGCGAGCCUCUUGGUGACAGCCUUUGAUCCUCUUUGCCCGACUUCUCAUCACCGGAAGAUAGGCUUUGAAGGAAGCUCAAAAAGUACUCCAGUACAAGCGUACACUACGGUCGAGAAGUUGAUUUCAUCUCGAUUAAUUUUCGGAACACCGUCAACAAACUCGUGGGACGCAGUGAACUUCUGUCCUUUGUGGGUGUAGGUCACUCCACUCACAUAGUGGCCUGAAUGACUUCCAAUGGAUUGUUGCUCUUCCCCUCGCCGAGGCCCCCAAUCCAUGUUCCUUUGCUCUCAAUGCUAUAUCAACAGCCGAGAUAUCAAGGCACAGCUAUGGCUCUCACAACGAGAUAUGUCUGUGCUGAAGGCAGCAUCGGUAUGUGCCGAUUCCGAACGUAUGCUUGAUAACAGAAUAUUCUUCGGUUUUUGAUAUCCUAAAGUGUAAUUGAUUCCUAUAACCACAACAUGCUGGUUUAAUUU